rnacentral:rRNA from 1 species
AAAUUGAAGAGUUUGAUCAUGGCUCAGAUUGAACGCUGGCGGCAGGCCUAACACAUGCAAGUCGAACGGUAACAGAAAGCAGCUUGCUGCUUUGCUGACGAGUGGCGGACGGGUGAGUAAUGUCUGGGAAACUGCCCGAUGGAGGGGGAUAACUACUGGAAACGGUAGCUAAUACCGCAUAACGUCGCAAGACCAAAGAGGGGGACCUUAGGGCCUCUUGCCAUCGGAUGUGCCCAGAUGGGAUUAGCUAGUAGGUGGGGUAACGGCUCACCUAGGCGACGAUCCCUAGCUGGUCUGAGAGGAUGACCAGCCACACUGGAACUGAGACACGGUCCAGACUCCUACGGGAGGCAGCAGUGGGGAAUAUUGCACAAUGGGCGCAAGCCUGAUGCAGCCAUGCCGCGUGUAUGAAGAAGGCCUUCGGGUUGUAAAGUACUUUCAGCGGGGAGGAAGGGAGUAAAGUUAAUACCUUUGCUCAUUGACGUUACCCGCAGAAGAAGCACCGGCUAACUCCGUGCCAGCAGCCGCGGUAAUACGGAGGGUGCAAGCGUUAAUCGGAAUUACUGGGCGUAAAGCGCACGCAGGCGGUUUGUUAAGUCAGAUGUGAAAUCCCCGGGCUCAACCUGGGAACUGCAUCUGAUACUGGCAAGCUUGAGUCUCGUAGAGGGGGGUAGAAUUCCAGGUGUAGCGGUGAAAUGCGUAGAGAUCUGGAGGAAUACCGGUGGCGAAGGCGGCCCCCUGGACGAAGACUGACGCUCAGGUGCGAAAGCGUGGGGAGCAAACAGGAUUAGAUACCCUGGUAGUCCACGCCGUAAACGAUGUCGACUUGGAGGUUGUGCCCUUGAGGCGUGGCUUCCGGAGCUAACGCGUUAAGUCGACCGCCUGGGGAGUACGGCCGCAAGGUUAAAACUCAAAUGAAUUGACGGGGGCCCGCACAAGCGGUGGAGCAUGUGGUUUAAUUCGAUGCAACGCGAAGAACCUUACCUGGUCUUGACAUCCACGGAAGUUUUCAGAGAUGAGAAUGUGCCUUCGGGAACCGUGAGACAGGUGCUGCAUGGCUGUCGUCAGCUCGUGUUGUGAAAUGUUGGGUUAAGUCCCGCAACGAGCGCAACCCUUAUCCUUUGUUGCCAGCGGUCCGGCCGGGAACUCAAAGGAGACUGCCAGUGAUAAACUGGAGGAAGGUGGGGAUGACGUCAAGUCAUCAUGGCCCUUACGACCAGGGCUACACACGUGCUACAAUGGCGCAUACAAAGAGAAGCGACCUCGCGAGAGCAAGCGGACCUCAUAAAGUGCGUCGUAGUCCGGAUUGGAGUCUGCAACUCGACUCCAUGAAGUCGGAAUCGCUAGUAAUCGUGGAUCAGAAUGCCACGGUGAAUACGUUCCCGGGCCUUGUACACACCGCCCGUCACACCAUGGGAGUGGGUUGCAAAAGAAGUAGGUAGCUUAACCUUCGGGAGGGCGCUUACCACUUUGUGAUUCAUGACUGGGGUGAAGUCGUAACAAGGUAACCGUAGGGGAACCUGCGGUUGGAUCACCUCCUUA